UAAACAAAGGGCCUUUCUCAUCAGAUAAGCCAAAUAAGAACGUGUGCCCCACAGGUGGCCAGGAUGAAAGUCUCCAUGGACCCUUCAACCAGAGGCUCUGUGACUUGUCCCGUCUUCAGUGCGGUGUGUAAACCCUGCCGCCGGUCCAAGUUCACGAGGUGUGCUCCCUUCUCCAGUGCAAGGGCCCGGUUUAUCCCCACUAUGUCUCCUGGACGUGGUUGGGAAAUUGAACAACCUGGACCUCCGUUCCCAUUUCCUUGUUGUUUCAGCGGGAGAUAAGAGGAGAAGUAAUAGCUGUCGUGUUGGGGCGCUUGCCUUGGUCCUGGGCCCCAUCAGCUGCUGUGAGGAGACAGUUUCUUUUCCAUAGUUGAGGAAAUGGAGCGCAGAGAGGUUGAGUGAGUCAACCAAGGUCACCCAGCUGGAGGUGGGGCAGGGUCUGGCUCCAGGCUGUGUGCUCUCACCCACCCUGCUUGCACGGGCUUUAGGAAUAGCCCCUGUGUCCUGGAAGACAGAUCGCUCACCGAAUGGGCCUCUUUUCUUGGUAUCAUAUGAUGAGGUAGGCUCACUUUCCCCCAGACUUAGCUUGCCAGAAUAUUCAUGGUUUUUUCUCUGUACUCACCUGUCAUCUCUCCAACUUGGUGCCAUCACCCAUGAAGUGGGAUGCUUUGGUGCGUGUCUGGCCUGGGGAGAGGGCUGCUUGCUUUGUCAGAAGACUCAAAGCAUGAUGGGCAUCCAAAUACCAAAGACCUAUGUUGACCUGUGUUUUUCACUCCGCUUGAUGGCAGUUGAGGGCUAUAUUCACUGCCUCAGUUGCAUGGAGUGAACAAGACCUAGUGAAGGUGGUGGGUGCGCUGAGACCAUCUGGUUGAUCUCUCCUGGGUGGGACCAGGUGCUCCCCUCACCACCCCCACCCUUGUCUGUGUACCACCACUCUGCACAGACACGUUGGCUGGUGCAGUCCUGGAGACCCACGGAGCUCACGGUCGUCAGGGGUCCUCAAGGAUUCAGAGAACCCCCAAAUGUCAGGGCUGCUCCCUUCUUGUCCUGCCUCUCUGCUCACACCCUUGGACAGGAGGAAGCACACGGGAGGCACUCAGAGAACGUUUGUGGAAUGAAUAAAUAAAAGCAUAUUUUGAGGGAAUAAAGAAGCAGAAAAACAAAGAAGAAUCUGGGGAAGAUGGGCAUAAAUCUCCACCAAGUGCUGCCAAGGCUUCCCAGGCGAGGCUGCUGAAAAGACCCUGUGGAGCGGCUGCUCUGCCUGGGAUAAACACAUUUCAAGAGUCUCAGUCCCCGCUUUGCCACCAUCUCCUCCUCUGAUCUCCUUUCCUGCUUCAAAAGACUCCAGAAUCUUCUCGGUUCUCAGAGAAGGCUGAAUCCACCUAUGACCUAGUGGGAGCACCCUGUGCCGAAACUGUUUACCUUCUGGUCCCCGGAGCCAUGGGUCACGACCUGGGCCUCAUGUAGGCCCGCUCCUCAGCAGACCCCAAUCUGCGGCUUCUCCCACCUCACUGGGGAAGAAGGAGAGCCCUGGGGAUGUGGAGAAGCCACCCCCCACCCCGCCACAUCCCCCACAUCUUACAGAAUCUCGAUUGAAUCCCCGGGGGCACAUCCCUCAGCAGGACAGCAACAGUCUUUGCCGCAGCCUGGGGAGGGCUGUGCUGGGGAUGAGCGCCGAGUGGCCGUGGACUAAGUGAAGGAAAUGACCAUGCUCUUCUCCCAGCUGGAUGGCGAGGCCGGGCAGGAACCGCGGAAUUCCUGCUCUUCGUUUUCAAACACUUUGCUGUCAAGCUAUGAAACCUGCCGUGUAGUGCGCUAGCAGGGAAGGACACACUCUGGCCGCCCGGUGACUCACACUGUUUUCCCCAGAGCCUUCCUGCUCCACCGCCUGGGUCUGAGCUGGCUGGGCAGGGGGAGGGGGCACUCAGCUUGGCCUCACUCCCCCGCUCUGCUGCAAAUGCAAAAGCAAUCGGCCAGGCAGCCACCAUCCUGCUGAGGGCUGUGUGUGGGGGUGGCGGGGAGGAGGGGGGGCACCAUCUCUCCGGCCUCCCUCUGCAGCCCCAGUGGCGCUCCAGAGGGACUGUCAGUUGCCUAUGACAGGGGAGGAAACUGAGGCCUAAAGAGGCCCAAUGCCUGGCCUCACAGAUCCCACAGGGGAGGGUGGCUUCGGCUCAUGCUGGGAACCCCCAGGGAGACCCUUCGGCGAACCCAGCCGCUGGGCAAAGCUGCAAAACCUCUGGCUGUUCCUGCUGGGCCUGAGACUCCAGCUUCUCCUGAGCUCCUUUGGUGCAGCCAACUCCUCCUGC
rnacentral:lncRNA from 10 species